rnacentral:rRNA from 1 species
UAUCAGCUUGUUGGUGGGGUAACGGCCUACCAAGGCGAUUACGGGUAGCCGGCCUGAGAGGGGGACCGGCCACACUGGGACUGAGACACGGCCCAGACUCCUGCGGGAGGCAGCAGUGGGGAAUAUUGCGCAAUGGGCGAAAGCCUGACGCAGCGACGCCGCGUGGGGGAUGACGGCCUUCGGGUUGUAAACCUCUUUUACCACUCACGCAGGCCCCACGUUUUCGUGGGGUUGACGGUAGGUGGGGAAUAAGGACCGGCUAACUACGUGCCAGCAGCCGCGGUAAUACGUAGGGUCCGAGCGUUGUCCGGAAUUAUUGGGCGUAAAGAGCUCGUAGGCGGCGUGUCGCGUCUGCUGUGAAAGACCGGGGCUUAACCCCGGUUCUGCAGUGGAUACGGGCAUGCUAGAGGUAGGUAGGGGAGACUGGAAUUCCUGGUGUAGCGGUGAAAUGCGCAGAUAUCAGGAGGAACACCGGUGGCGAAGGCGGGUCUCUGGGCCUUACCUGACGCUGAGGAGCGAAAGCAUGGGGAGCGAACAGGAUUAGAUACCCUGGUAGUCCAUGCCGUAAACGUUGGGCGCUAGGUGUGGGGACUUUCCACGGUUUCCGCGCCGUAGCUAACGCAUUAAGCGCCCCGCCUGGGGAGUACGGCCGCAAGGCUAAAACUCAAAGGAAUUGACGGGGGCCCGCACAAGCGGCGGAGCAUGUUGCUUAAUUCGACGCAACGCGAAGAACCUUACCAAGGUUUGACAUCACCCGUGGACCUGCAGAGAUACAGGGUCAUUUAGUUGGCGGGUGACAGGUGGUGCAUGGCUGUCGUCAGCUCGUGUCGUGAGAUGUUGGGUUAAGUCCCGCAACGAGCGCAACCCUUGUUCCAUGUUGCCAGCACGUAAUGGUGGGGACUCAUGGGAGACUGCCGGGGUCAACUCGGAAGAAGGUGGGGACGAGCGUCAAGUCAUCAUGCCCCUUAUGUCGUUGGGCUGCAAACAUGCUACAAUGGCCGGUACAAUGGGCGUGCAAUACCGUGAGGUGGAACGAAUCCCUAAAAGCCGGUCUCAGUUCGGAUUGGGGUCUGCAACUCGACUCCCAUGAAGGUGGAGUCGCUAGUAAUCGCGGAUCAGCAACGCCGUCGGUGAUACUACCGGCUU